rnacentral:rRNA from 1 species
CGUACUGCUCAGUAACACGUGGAUAACCUGCCCUGCGGUGGGAAAUAACCCCGGGAAACUGGGGAUAAUGUCCCAUAGGCUACGGAUGCUGGAAUGCUCUGUAGCUCAAAGAUUUAUCGCCACAGGAUGGGUCUGCGGCCGAUUAGGUAGUUGUUGGGGUAACGGCCCAACAAGCCUUUGAUCGGUACGGGUUGUGGGAGCAAGAGCCCGGAGAUGGAUUCUGAGACACGAAUCCAGGCCCUACGGGGCGCAGCAGGCGCGAAAACUUUACAAUGCGGGAAACCGUGAUAAGGGAACUCCGAGUGUCCGUCAAUGCGGACUGUCCGUAUGUUUAAAAAGCAUGCGAAGAAAGGGCCGGGCAAGACCGGUGCCAGCCGCCGCGGUAAUACCGGCGGCUCGAGUGGUGGCCACUAUUACUGGGCUUAAAGCGUUCGUAGCUGGGUUGUUAAGUCUCUUGGGAAAUCUACCGGCUUAACCGAUAGGCGUCCAAGGGAUACUGGCAAUCUAGGGACCGGGAGAGGUGAGGGGUACUUCAGGGGUAGGAGUGAAAUCCUGUAAUCCUUGGGGGACCACCUGUGGCGUAGGCGCCUCACCAGAACGGCUCCGACAGUGAGGGACGAAAGCUGGGGGAGCAAACCGGAUUAGAUACCCGGGUAGUCCCAGCCGUAAACGAUGCGCGCUAGGUGUAUCGAUGACCACGAGUCAUCGAGGUGCCGAAGGGAAACCGUG